rnacentral:tRNA from 1 species
GCCGCUGUGGUGGAACGGCAGACACCGCGGACUUAAAAUCCGCCGCCCGUUAAGGGCAUACCAGUUCGAGUCUGGUCAGCGGCACCA